rnacentral:rRNA from 1 species
CCCUUAGAUGUUCUGGGCGGCCCGCGCACUACAAUGGCGUGUGCAGCGAGUGCCGAAGUAGAGUUUUCCGAGGUAUUCUUGCAAUGCUCGUUUUGAUGGGGAUAGACCCUUGCAACUGUUGGUUUUGAACGAGGAAUUCCUUGUAAGCAUGGUUUAUCAUCCGACGCUGAAUGCGUCCCUGCCCUUUGUACACACCGCCCGUCGCUCCUACCGAUGAGCCGUCCGGUGAAGUUCGUAGACCUCGUGAUCGCGGAUCACUGGGGGAAGCAAAAUGAACCUCGCGGUUUAGAGGAAGGAGAAGUCGUAACA